rnacentral:rRNA from 1 species
AGUGAACGCUGGCGGUAGGCCUAACACAUGCAAGUCGAACGGCAGCACAGUAAGAGCUUGCUCUUACGGGUGGCGAGUGGCGGACGGGUGAGGAAUACAUCGGAAUCUACUUUUUCGUGGGGGAUAACGUAGGGAAACUUACGCUAAUACCGCAUACGACCUACGGGUGAAAGCAGGGGAUCUUCGGACCUUGCGCGAUUGAAUGAGCCGAUGUGGGAUUAGCUAGUUGGCGGGGUAAAGGCCCACCAAGGCGGCGAUCCGUAGCUGGUCUGAGAGGAUGAUAGGCCACACUGGAACUUGGACACGGUCAAGACGCCUACGGGAGGCAGCAGUGGGGAAUAUUGGACAGUGGGCGCGAGCCUGAUCCAGCGAUACCGCGUGGGUGAAGAAGGCCUUCGGGUUGUAAAGCCCUUUUGUUGGGAAAGAAAAGCAGCAGGUUAAUACCACGCUGUUCUGACGGUACCCAAAGAAUAAGCACCGGCUAACUUCGUG